UACGAAGGGGGCUAGCGUUGUUCGGAAUUACUGGGCGUAAAGCGCACGUAGGCGGAUCGAUCAGUCAGGGGUGAAAUCCCAGGGCUCAACUCUGGAGCUGCCUUUGAUACUGUCGGUCUAGAGUAUGGAAGAGGUGAGUGGAAUUCCGAGUGUAGAGGUGAAAUUCGUAGAUAUUCGGAGGAACACCAGUGGCGAAGGCGGCUCACUGGUCCAUUACUGACGCUGAGGUGCGAAAGCGUGGGGAGCAAACAGG
rnacentral:rRNA from 1 species